rnacentral:pre_miRNA from 1 species
AUACAUGUAUACAGGGUCUCCGUGCAAGUAUGGAUUUAAUGAAGGGGCUGACGAAGGGACUUGUCGGUUUCCCAAAGUUGGUGGAAAACAGUACCUGAGUUAACUCAUUCAUUCCAUCCAUACUUGUACGGGUAUCCUGUAUACCUGACG